rnacentral:rRNA from 1 species
CCUACGGGUGGCAGCAGUGAGGAAUAUUGGUCAAUGGACGAGAGUCUGAACCAGCCAAGUAGCGUGAAGGAUGACUGCCCUAUGGGUUGUAAACUUCUUUUAUAUGGGAAUAAAAUGUUCCACGUGUGGGAUUUUGUAUGUACCAUAUGAAUAAGGAUCGGCUAACUCCGUGCCAGCAGCCGCGGUAAUACGGAGGAUCCGAGCGUUAUCCGGAUUUAUUGGGUUUAAAGGGAGCGUAGGUGGAUUGUUAAGUCAGUUGUGAAAGUUUGCGGCUCAACCGUAAAAUUGCAGUUGAAACUGGCAGUCUUGAGUACAGUAGAGGUGGGCGGAAUUCGUGGUGAAGCGGUGAAAUGCUUAGAUAUCACGAAGAACUCCGAUUGCGAAGGCAGUUCACUGGACUGCAACUGACACUGAGGCUCGAAAGUGUGGGUAUCAAACAGGAUUAGAUACCCUUGUAGUC